rnacentral:rRNA from 1 species
GUAGUCUCGCACAGAUGCAUAUCAAUAAGCGGAGGAAAAGAAACUAACAAGGAUUCCCUUAGUAACGGCGAGCGAAGCGGGAAGAGCUCAAAUUUGAAAUCUUCAAGGUUUUACCUUGACGAAUUGUAGUUUAAAGAAGUGUUUUCUGUUGAAGUUUUGGUAAAAGUUCUUUGGAAUAGGACAUCAUAGAGGGUGAGAAUCCCGUAGUUUGACCAUUAUUUUCAGCUGUGUGAUACACUUUCAAAGAGUCGGAUUGUUUGGGAAUGCAGUCCAAAAUGGGUGGUAAAUUUCAUCUAAAGCUAAAUAUUGGCGAGAGACCGAUAGCGAACAAGUACCGUGAGGGAAAGAUGAAAAGAACUUUGAAAAGAGAGUUAAACAGUACGUGAAAUUGUCAAAAGGGAAGCGUUUGACACCAGUGUUGUUUUCCUCGAAAAUCAAUUAAAAAGAGUUUGAUUUUGUUGUGUAUUGACCUUAACAGCUUGCAUUUCAAUUUUCUUGCUUUUUUUAAUGCACUUUUCGUUUAACAAGUCAACAUCAGUUUCUUUUGUUGUAAAAAGGUCAUUGGAAGGUGGCUUUCUUUUCGGAGAAAGUGUUUAUAGCCUUUGACUCCUGCAAUCGGAGAGACUGAGGUCUGCAGCGUAGAUCCUUCGGGGUUAGAUACAUUUGUGCUAAGUUAUAGCUUUUUAUAGACAACUUGUUGACUAUGAUUAGUCUUGUAGCUUACUCGCUUAUGCUAUUUUACCUACGCUUAGGAUGUUGAGCGCAUGUCUCUCUCU